UACGAGGGGGGCGAGCGUUGUUCGGAAUUAUUGGGCGUAAAGGGUGCGUAGGCGGUUUGGUAAGUCUUAUGUGAAAUCUACAGGCUCAACUUGUAGUCUGCAUGAGAAACUGCCGGGCUUGAGUAUGGGAGAGGUGAGUGGAAUUCCUGGUGUAGCGGUGAAAUGCGUAGAUAUCGUUUGGAACGCCAAUGGUGAAAACAGGUUGCUGGGAGUGUGCUGACGCUGAGACACGAAAGCCAGGGGAGCAAACGGG
rnacentral:rRNA from 1 species